rnacentral:rRNA from 1 species
CAGUCGCCACGGUAAUACGAAGGGUGCAAGCGUUACUCGGAAUUACUGGGCGUAAAGCGUGCGUAGGUGGUGGUUUAAGUCCGUUGUGAAAGCCCUGGGCUCAACCUGGGAAUUGCAGUGGAUACUGGGUCACUAGAGUGUGGUAGAGGAUAGUGGAAUUUCCGGUGUAGCAGUGAAAUGCGUAGAGAUCGGAAGGAACAUCUGUGGCGAAGGCGACUAUCUGGGCCAACACCGACACUGAGGCACGAAAGCGUGGGAAGCAAACAGGAUUAGAUACCCCCGUAGUCCCUGUCUCUUAUAC